rnacentral:rRNA from 1 species
CCUACGGGGGGCAGCAGUGAGGAAUAUUGGUCAAUGGGCGUAAGCCUGAACCAGCCAAGUCGCGUGAGGGAUGAAGGUUCUAUGGAUCGUAAACUUCUUUUAUAAGGGAAUAAAGUGUGGGACGUGUCCUAUUUUGUAUGUACCUUAUGAAUAAGGAUAGGCUAACUCCGUGCCAGCAGCCGCGGUAAUACGGAGGAUCCGAGCGUUAUCCGGAUUUAUUGGGUUUAAAGGGUGCGUAGGCGACAUUUUAAGUCAGCGGUGAAAGUCUGUGGCUAAACCAUAGAAUUGCCGUUGAAACUGGGGGGCUUGAGUAUGUUUGAGGCAGGCGGAAUGCGUGGUGUAGCGGUGAAAUGCUUAGAUAUCACGCAGAACCCCGAUUGCGAAGGCAGCCUGCCAAGCCAUGACUGACGCUGAUGCACGAAAGCGUGGGGAUCAAACAGGAUUAGAUACCCCUGUAGUC